rnacentral:rRNA from 1 species
GGGGGGGGCAAGCGUUGUUCGGAAUUACUGGGCGUAAAGGGCUCGUAGGCGGCCAACUAAGUCAGACGUGAAAUCCCCAGGCUCAACCUGGGAACUGCGUCUGAUACUGGAUGGCUUGAAUCCGGGAGAGGGAUGCAGAAUUCCAGGUGUAGCGGUGAAAUGCGUAGAUAUCUGGAGGAAUACCGGUGGCGAAGGCGGCAUCCUGGACCGGCAUUGACGCUGAGGAGCGAAAGCCAGGGGAGCAAACGGGAUUAGAUACCCCGGUAGUCCUGGCCCUAAACGAUGAAUGCUUGGUGCAACGGGUAUCGAUCCCUGUUGUGCCGAAGCUAACGCAUUAAGCAUUCCGCCUGGGGAGUACGGUCGCAA